GUGGGGAAUAUUGGACAAUGGGCGAAAGCCUGAUCCAGCCAUGCCGCGUGUGUGAAGAAGGUCUUCGGAUUGUAAAGCACUUUAAGUUGGGAGGAAGGGCAGUAAGUUAAUACCUUGCUGUUUUGACGUUACCGACAGAAUAAGCACCGGCUAACUUCGUGCCAGCAGCCGCGGUAAUACGAAGGGUGCAAGCGUUAAUCGGAAUUACUGGGCGUAAAGCGCGCGUAGGUGGUUUUGUAAGUUGGAGGUGAAAUCCCCGGGCUCAACCUGGGAACUGCCUACAAAACUGCAUGACUAGAGUACGGUAGAGGGUAGGGGAAUUUCCUGUGUAGCGGUGAAAUGCGUAGAUAUAGGAAGGAACACCAGUGGCGAAGGCGACUACCUGGACUGAUACUGACACUGAGGUGCGAAAGCGUGGGGAGCAAACAGGAUUAGAUACCCUUGUAGUCC
rnacentral:rRNA from 1 species